GUCUACAGCCAUGCCACCCUGAACACAUCUCAUCUGAUCUCAGAAGCUAAGCAGGGUUGGGCCUGGUUAAUACUUGGAUGGGAGACCACCUAGGAAGACGAGGUGCUGUAGGCU
rnacentral:rRNA from 1 species